rnacentral:rRNA from 1 species
CGGCGGACGGGUGAGUAACGCGUGGGUAACCUGCCUCAUACAGGGGGAUAACAGUUGGAAACGGCUGCUAAUACCGCAUAAGCGCACAGUACCGCAUGGUACCGUGUGAAGAACUCCGGUGGUAUGAGAUGGACCCGCGUCUGAUUAGGUAGUUGGUGGGGUAACGGCCUACCAAGCCGACGAUCAGUAGCCGACCUGAGAGGGUGACCGGCCACAUUGGGACUGAGACAUGGCCCAA